AGGAGGACGUGGAGGACGGUCAGCCUCUCCCCGCAUCUACCGCAAGUUGGAGGAUCAUUUUCAGGUGCAGUACACCGGAUUCCGAGAAGGACGGACCAAUGGCUGCGUAGGACACCCCGGCAUGCGACUUAGAAGCGUCUGUGUAAAACUCUGUGCACGAGUACUUGUACUGGAGCUCCAAGAAAUGCAUUUUGAUAUGUGUC